rnacentral:misc_RNA from 1 species
CACCACUCAAGCCUGGCUUGGUAUUGGAGGUCGCGGUCCGCCGCGCCUCCUAAUGUCGCCGGCCGAGUCGUCUGUCUCCGAGCGUUGUGAAUCUUCAAUUCGCUUUCGAGUACAGGCGGCGCGCGCCGUUAAACCUCUUUUUCAGG